rnacentral:rRNA from 1 species
CCUACGGGUGGCAGCAGUCGAGAAUCAUUCACAAUGGGGGAAACCCUGAUGGUGCGACGCCGCGUGGGGGAAUGAAGGUCUUCGGAUUGUAAACCCCUGUCAUGUGGGAGCAAAUUAAAAAGAUAGUACCACAAGAGGAAGAGCCGGCUAACUCUGUGCCAGCAGCCGCGGUAAUACAGAGGUCUCAAGCGUUGUUCGGAAUCACUGGGCGUAAAGCGUGCGUAGGCUGUUUCGUAAGUCGUGUGUGAAAGGCGCGGGCUCAACCCGCGGACGGCACAUGAUACUGCGAGACUAGAGUAAGGGAGGGGGAACCGGAAUGCUCGGUGUAGCAGUGAAAUGCGUAGAUAUCGAGAGGAACACUCGUGGCGAAGGCGGGUUCCUGGACAGUAACUGACGCUGAGGCACGAAGGCCAGGGGAGCGAAAGGGAUUAGAUACCCUUGUAGUC